AGCUCGCACGCCAUGUGGUUUCCUUAAUUGGUUCAUUGGUUGCAUCUGGUGCAUUUCACAUAAGAGGGAAACGGACAAUACAUUUGUGUCCUCCACUGUUUGGCAGUUUAUCGUCUCCCAAACACGGUUAAAGACUUUUUGAAGUAAAGAGGAGCAUCUCAUCUGGACCUGAUGUCUAUCAUGGAUAUCUAACUGCAGUACUCAACAAACGGAUCUCCUCAAGGUAAGUCUGUUGGCUGUGUUUUAAUAAAGACCAUCGCUGGACUUCAGGAUCUUCCUCCGUUCAGCUCAAGGUGAGGCGCUGGUUCUGUUUUUUCUUUGGUUGGUUCCGGCCGGAAUGUUCGGAUUCCAGUCGGACGGUUUGUGCUUCCCGCCGUGGAAGGUUCUGAGUGCGUUCACUUGAUUUAGUCUCAAUGGUUAGCAUAGAACGUUGUAGUCUUGACAACCAUAAGAACCCACGUGGCUGUUAGUUGGACGUGAAUCCCCUGAGGGUAUCUGGCGGAACGUUCUGGAUUGUAUUUGCGUAUCUUCGAGCCGUUGCCAACAAACUAUUUUUCAGUCGGUUUCCAUCAGGAAUUGUUGCCCCUUAUCUUAAACUACUUAAGUUUGAUAUUAAAUACUCACUGACGCGUACAUCGUACAAUAUGUUGAUAAUUUCCGACUGUUGCGCCGACUUUAACCACGUUCACGGGACUCUCGCUGCGUUCAAAACAGCGUUCUACUUGCGGGCCCAUUUCUGAUCAUCAGUGAAGGCUGAAGAUCAUUUCAAGGUGGAAGACAAUUUGGCAUUUCUUCGACGGAACCCUGCACCUGAAUAUGGCUGAGUAUAUUUGAUUUAAUAUCGAUACUGCUUAGUGUUCUUUGUUACUUCAGCUUUCAUACGUUCUAAAUAUCUGGUGUCAAUAAUUGAAGUAAAACCCUACCCAAUGGAAUGACGUUAAACAACGACUUUGGUGCUUAGUUACCAACUGGAUAAUAACAAAGCUAAAAUAAUGGCUGUCUUUCCCACAUGUUACAGUAGAAGAAACUCUAGAACUGUACAAGAAAAGGUAAACUAGUUUGUCCCA
ensembl:lncRNA